UACGUAGGGGGCAAGCGUUGUCCGGAUUUAUUGGGCGUAAAGAGCGUGUAGGCGGUCAGGUAGGUCGGGUGUGAAAACUGGAGGCUCAACCUUCAGAGGUCGACCGAAACCAUCUGGCUAGAGUCCGGGAGAGGAGAGUGGAAUUCCUGGUGUAGCGGUGAAAUGCGCAGAUAUCAGGAAGAACACCCGUGGCGAAAGCGGCUCUCUGGAACGGUACUGACGCUGAGACGCGAAAGCGUGGGGAGCGAACAGG
rnacentral:rRNA from 1 species